GGUGGGGGAGGUGGUGCUGCAAAUUCUUGGUGCAGGAAUUGUUUGUUUUUGCAGCUGUCCACAUAGGUCAGGAUGUUUCUGUAAACCUCCAACAAAACAAUGUUAUUCUCUGUAUAUGAAUGGAAAAGUGCUACACUCUUAAAGGUCAGAGCCUUGAGAAUAGGCCAUCCUGUAUAUUUCAUUCUAUAGGGAAUAUUCUUAAAGCAAAAGCAAUAGAAUGUAACAGUUAAAGUAAAAGAAACAGAUCUAAUAUGGAGUCAUAUUUGUUUUCCUCUAUUACAGAAUAAGUAGUCAAUAUUUUGAGUGUAGGGAAACCACUGGAUCAGUGGCUACACUUUAGAGUCACUGAGAUUUUUAACAAACACCAAUGUCUAGGUCCUACCUGCAGAGAUUAGAGUAAGAAAAAUCCCAGGAAUUUGUAUUUUUUAAAAAAGUCUCCAGUAUUCAGCAUUGAAAAUGUGUAUAAGGUAAUGACCUGGGUUAUAAGAAAUGGGAUCUAUGAUGGAUCCAUUCAACUUCUUACCAGGUCUUAUAGAAAGUUAUUAAUUUAUUCUAUGGAUAAUUAUACCUAGUUCCUGAGUAUCAGAGUUCUCUCAAAACUUCCUUUUGUGCUUUAUAUCUAACACCAAGCUUUGUCCCAAACUCUUCCUUCUCUGUCCUCCAUACCCAAUCAGUUAUCUCCACAGUUUCUUUAUGUCUUCAGAUGCAGCUGACUUUAGACUGCCAGGAAAAGACAUAAUUCUUCUGAUGCUGAGAAACAUAGUCAUAGUGAAGAAGUGGGACAGGAACUGUUUGUAUUAGUGAAUCCAGAACUGGCUGGAGCCUCUUUGACCUUAAGUUGGAGUAGGGUAAGGGUCUUGUGGGUUCUAAGGAUGCCUAGUGGGCUGAUGCUGUGUCUCAGAAACUAGACUUCUGGGAACUCCCUUGUGGUGGAGUGGGUUAAGGAUCUCGCAUUGUCACUGCAGGGCUUGGAUCACUGCUGUGGCACAGAUUCAAUCCUGCCUGGGGAACUACCACAUGCUGCAGGUGCAGCUGAAAAAUAAAAACAAAAAGCUAGACUAAUGCCUUCCAAGUAAACACUUAUUUAUCCUACCUUACAACUUGUACUGAUGGAGGCUGGCUGAAACCAUGCAGAUAUGCAUGAUAUGCUGGGCCAGAUCCUAUGGGUAAAUCAAGAUAAUGUCAAAUAGAUUCUUUACAGACUGUUGGAGGGAGACCAGUCUAUUGUAUUAUUCCCAAUGCCAUUAUACUCAUAACAACAGUAAGUCAGAAGGUAACUUGGAUUCAAUUUAGUUUGUGUGGAUUUCGAUGAAGUACUUUCACUGAUUUACCAGUCGUAAUGAGAGGUGUAUCUCAAUGCAAAAUUUAGGACAUGAGGGAGACGGGAUUAAGAUAGAAUAGAAGGACUAGAGCUCACCUUCUCUCAUAAAAAUAACAAAAUUACAACCAAAUGCUGAACAACCUUCAACCACAUGGACUGGAAACCUUCAAAAAGGUAUCCUACUCCAGAAGACAAAGAGGAGGGCAUAUCAAGAUGGUAGGAGGGGUGAUUACAUGAUAUAAGCAACCCCAUACCCAUCAGGUGGGCAGCCCACAGACUGGAAAGUAACUGUGGGUCACAGAGACCCACCUACAGGAGUGAGAGUUCUGAGCCCCACAUCAGGUCCCCAUGCCUGGGGAAUCUGGCACUGGGAGAAAGAGCUCCGAGAGCAUCUGGCAUUGAAGGCCAGUGGGCCUUGUGUGCAGGAGCUCCACCGGACUGGGGGAAAUGGAGACCCCAUUCUUGAAAGAUGCACGCAAGCUUUCAUGUUCACUGGGUCCCAGGGCAAAGCAAAGCCUCCACAGGAAUGUGGGUCAGACCUGACUGCAGUUUUGGAGGAUCUCCAGGGAAGGCAGGGGUUGACUGUGGCUCAUUGUGGGAAGGUCAUUGGAGGCAAAGGUCUCAGGAAGAUUCAUUGGCUUGUGUUUCUCUGGAGGUGUCCAUUUGAGGAGGAUCUGGCCUCACCCAUCAGUAAACAGGCUUCCUAAAGACUCCCCAAGCACACAGCUGCCUCUAAUCUCACCCAGAGACAAAGCCCCACCCAUCGUAGAGAUAAGAAUCAGCCCUACCUACCUGUGGGCAGGCACCAGUCCCUCCCAUCAAGAAGCCUACAGCAAGGCCCCUUACCAACUUCAGCCACAAAGGCAGCAGACAUCAGAAGUAAGAGAGGCUACCAAUCUACUGUCUGCAAAAAGGAGAACACACCAAAAACCUAUAAAAAUGAAAAGGCAGAGAACUAUAACUCAGAUAAGGAGCAAGAAAAAACAUGAGAAAAACAGUUAAGUGAUCUGGAGAUUAUCAGCCUCCAGGAAAAAGACUCUAGAAUGUUGAUGCUGAAGAUGAUGCAAGACAUUGGAAAUAAACUGGAAGCAAAGGUUGAUAAUUUAUAGGAAACACUGAGCAAAGAAAUACAAGAUUUAAAACUUAAGCAAUCAGAGAUGCAGAAUACAAUAACUGAAAUAAAAUAUUCAUGAGAAGCAAUUCAACCAACAGCAGAAUAUAGGAGGCAGAAGAACAAAUAAGUGAGGUGGAGGAUAGACUAGUGGAAAUCACUGAUGUGGAACAGGAAAGAGAAAAAAGAUUGAAAAGAAAUGAGUGUCUCAGAGAACUCUGGGACAAUGUUAAAUGUACCAAUAUCUGUAUUACAGGGGUGCCAGAAGGAGAAGUGAGAGAGAAAGGGACAGAAAAAAUAUUUGACGAGAUAAUACCUGAAAGCUUCCCUAACAUGGGAAAGGAACCACUUACUCAAAUACAGGAAGCACAACGAGUGUCAUAUAAAAUAAACCCAAGGAGGAACACCACGAGACACAUAUUAAUCAAAGUGACCAAAAUUAAAGACAAAGAGAAAAUCAUGAAAGCAGCUAGGGAAAAGAAACAAAUAACAUACAAGGGAACCCUAAUAAGGUUAUCAGCAAUUUUUCAGCAGAAACUCUGCAGGCCAGAAGGAAGGGGCAUAAGAUACUUAAAGUGAUGAAAGGAAAAAAUCUCCAACCGAGAUUACUUUACCCAGCAAGGCUCUCACUCAGAUUUGAAGGAGAAACCAAAAGCUUUACAGAUACGCAAAAGCUAAGAGAAUUCAGCAACACUAAACCGGCCUUACAACAAAUACUAAAGGAACUUCUCUAGGCAGAAAAGAAAAGACCACAACUAGAAACAAAAAUACUACAAAUGACAAGGCUCACCAGUAAAGGCAUAUAUACAGUAAAGGUAGGAAAUCAUCCACGCACAAAUAUGCUACCAAAAUCAGAAAUCAUGAGAAGAGGAGGGUACAAAUGCAGGACACUGGAGACGCACUUGCAGUUAAGACAUCAACAACUUAAGACAAUCUUGUUUAUAUAUAUAGACUCCUAUAUCAAAACUUUAGGGUAACUGCAAGACAAAAAUCUACAAUAGAUAUACACACAAAUAAGGAAAAUCAACUCAAAUACAACACUAAAGAUAGUCAUCAAACCACAA
rnacentral:lncRNA from 1 species